AAAAUCGACUAAUAAAUGUUUCAUAUAAAAAAAAAUUAAAUUAUAUUUUAGAAAAAGAUUAAAAACAAGAAAAUAAAAAUAAAAUAAUCAAAUUAGAAGUUUUUUUUAUUCUUUAUUCGCUUUUAAACAUUUUAUCAUUAUUACAACAUUGUUUUGCAUUAGCAAACUUUUAUCUGACAUCGUUUUUUAUUUAAUACCGUUUUUUAUUUAAUACCGUUUUUUAUCUGAUACCGUUUUUUAUCCGAUACUGUUUUUUAUCUGAUACUGUUUGAGUAUUAAGCCAUAUUCGAUUUGUUUUUUCUUUAUCCUUUAUAUAAUUCAAGCUCAUCUUUGACAUUGAUUACGUUUUGAUGUAUCUUUUUUGUUUUGAUAUAUUUUAAUAUGUUUUAUUAUAUUUAAAAAUAAAAAAAUCUUGUAUUAUGAAAAUAAAUAUAUAUUUGUAUUUUUUUUUAUAAGCAAGGCUAAUAUACUUACUAAAUGGAAGGUAAAAGUGAAGUAUCUAAAUUUAAUGAAAAUUUUAAUUCAUCAAAAAGAAGUACUAAUAUAAGUAGUAUUGUGUCUGAAAACCAAGAUUAUACAGAAACAAUUUAUAAUGUUAAUGAUGUUGAGUUGUUGUGUGAAGAGAACAAAACACGUCAUGAUGAACACAUAUACGCUUAUCCCGAACGUUUAGUUACCACUAUAAGUUACAUUUUUUGUAUAUUAGCAAUUAUAUGUGCGUGGGGAGUUGUCGAUUCGAUAGUUGACGUAAUAUCUGCAAAACAAGCUCAUAUUGCAUUAGCUUGCUACUCUAUAAUAUUCGGAAUAGCAAUCAUUGUUCUAACAUUAUACAUUUUAUUUAUUGAUAGAAGUUAUAGACCUUAUAAUUUUUUUUAAAAAGCAUUUUUUUUUUUUUUUUUUUAAAGAUCUUUUAAAAAAAAAAGAAAUUAAUUUACAUUAUUUUUGGUAUAUGCAUAUAUAGCUUUGAUGUCUACAUGUAUUAAUAUGACACAUACUAGUAUAAACGUUGAAUAUAUAUGUAUAAAUAUUUGUAUAUAUAUUUAUAUAUAUAUUUAUAUAUAUAUUUUUUUUUUUACUACUGAUUAAAAAAUAUAAAUAGACUAGGAGUGAAAAGAAAUAAACAAUAAAACUAGUUGCUUUUAAAAAACA
rnacentral:lncRNA from 1 species